rnacentral:tRNA from 1 species
AGGCAAAUUCCUUGAGGAGCUGUUAUUUUGAAAAUAUCAGAUGAAGUUUAUAAAGUUGAUUUCUUGUUUU